rnacentral:tRNA from 25 species
GCCCCCAUAGCCCAAUUGGCAGAGGCAACGGACUUAAAAUCCGUCAAGUGUCGGUUCGAGUCCGACUGGGGGCACCA